rnacentral:rRNA from 1 species
UACGUAGGUCCCGAGCGUUGUCCGAAUUUAUUGGGCGUAAAGCGAGCGCAGGUGGUUUAUUAAGUCUGGUGUAAAAGGCAGUGGCUCAACCAUUGUAUGCAUUGGAAACUGGUAGACUUGAGUGCAGGAGAGGAGAGUGGAAUUCCAUGUGUAGCGGUGAAAUGCGUAGAUAUACGGAGGAACACCGGUGGCGAAAGCGGCUCUCUGGCCUGUAACUGACACUGAGGCUCGAAAGCGUGGGGAGCAAACAGG